rnacentral:rRNA from 1 species
AGAACGAACGCUGGCGGCAUGCCUAACACAUGCAAGUCGAACGCCUGUAGCAAUACAGGAGUGGCGCACGGGUGAGUAACGCGUGGGAACCUACCCUGGAGUGGGGGAUAACCGAGGGAAACUUCGGCUAAUACCUCAUACGACCUGAGGGUGAAAGAUUUAUCGCUCUAGGAGGGGCCCGCGUCGGAUUAGCUAGUUGGUGAGGUAACGGCCCACCAAGGCGAUGAUCCGUAGCUGGUCUGAGAGGAUGAUCAGCCACACUGGGACUGAGACACGGCCCAGACUCCUACGGGAGGCAGCAGUGGGGAAUAUUGGACAAUGGGGGCAACCCUGAUCCAGCAAUGCCGCGUGAGUGAUGAAGGCCUUAGGGUUGUAAAGCUCUUUCGGCGGGACGAUGAUGACGGUACCCGCAGAAGAAGCCCCGGCUAACUACGCGCCAGCAGCCGC